GCGGACAUAGCUUAAUGGUAGAGUCCUGGCUUCCCAAGCCAGUUGUGCGGGUUCGAUUCCCGUUGUCCGCUCCA
rnacentral:tRNA from 1 species